rnacentral:rRNA from 1 species
UACAGAGGGUGCAAGCGUUGUUCGGAAUUAUUGGGCGUAAAGCGCGUGUAGGCGGCUUUGCAAGUCGGGUGUGAAAGCCCUCGGCUCAACCGAGGAAGUGCGCCCGAAACUGCAGAGCUUGAGUACCGGAGAGGAUGGCGGAAUUCCCCAAGUAGAGGUGAAAUUCGUAGAUAUGGGGAGGAACACCGGUGGCGAAGGCGGCCAUCUGGACGGAUACUGACGCUGAGGUGCGAAAGCGUGGGGAGCAAACAGGG